rnacentral:tRNA from 1 species
UCCCAGGUGGUCUAGUGGUUAGGAUUCGGUGCUUUCACUGCCGUAGCCCAGGUUCGAUUCCUGGUCAGAGAA